rnacentral:rRNA from 1 species
ACUCCGGUUGAUCCUGCCGGACCCGACUGCUAUCGGAUUGGGAUUUAGCCAUGUUAGUUGUGCGUGCUUGGCUACAGGCACGCAGCGUACGGCUCAGUAACACGUAGUCAACCUGCCCUGGAGACGCGGACAAACCCGGGAAACUGGGGCCUAUCCGCGAUAGAUGGCCUCAUCUGGAAGGAGGGGCCGUCCAAAAGGGCGCACGGGUAUGCUCUGUGCGAACCGCUCCAGGAUGGGACUGCGGCCGAUCAGGCUGUUGGCGGGGUAAUGGCCCACCAAACCUGUAACCGGUACGGGCUUUGAGAGAAGGAGCCCGGAGAUGGACACUGAGACAAGGGUCCAGGCCCUACGGGGCGCAUCAGGCGCGAAACCUUCGCAAUGCGCGAAAGCGUGACGAGGCUAGUCCGAGUGCCGCCUGCUAAAGGUGGCUUUUCUCGGCUGUAAAAAGGCCGGGGAAUAAGGGGAGGGCAAGUCUGGUGUCAGCCGCCGCGGUAAUACCAGCUCCUCGAGUGGUCGGGACGAUUAUUGGGCCUAAAGCACCCGUAGCCGGUUCCGUAAGUCCUCUGUCAAAUCCAGCUGCUCAACGGCUGGCCCGCAGAGGAUACCGCGGAACUAGGAGGCGGGAGAGGCGGACGGUACUCCGCGUGUAGGGGUAAAAUCCUUUGAUCCGCGGAAGACCACCAGUGGCGAAGGCGGUCCGCCAGAACGCGCUCGACGGUGAGGGGUGAAAGCUGGGGGAGCGAACCGGAUUAGAUACCCGGGUAGUCCCAGCCGUAAACGAUGCGAGCUAGAUGAUUCGAUCGCAGUUCGCGAUCGAAGUGUCGCAGGGAAGCCGUUAAGCUCGCCGCCUGGGGAGUACGGUCGCAAGGCUGAAUCGUAGGAAGCUACUUCUUUCUACGCAGUUCACUUAAAGGAAUUGGCGGGGGAGCACCACAAGGGGUGAAGCCUGCGGUUCAAUUGGAGUCAACGCCAGGAAACUUACCAGGAGCGACAGCAGUAUGAGAGUCAGGCUGAAGACUUUACUUGACGAGCUGAGAGGAGGUGCAUGGCCGUCGCCAGCUCGUGCCGUGAGGCGUCCUGUUAAGUCAGGCAACGAGCGAGACCCUUGCCGAUAAUUGCUAGCCGUGGUAGCAAUACCGCGGAGGCUAGUUAUCGGGACUGCCGCUGCUAAAGCGGAGGAAGGAGAGGGCCACGGCAGAUGGCUGCAGCGAGCAGAGGGAUGGCCAUCCCGAAGAAUCCUACCGUCUGCAGCGGCUU